UAGUACGGCGAGUGAAGCGGGAAGAGCUCAAAUUUGAAAUCUGGUAGCCUUCGGUUGCCCGAGUUGUAAUCUAGAGAAGUGUUUUCCGCGUUGGCCCAUGUACAAGUCCCUUGGAACAGGGCGUCAUAGAGGGUGAGAAUCCCGUCCUUGACAUGGACCCCCAAUGCUUUGUGAUACACUUUCAACGAGUCGAGUUGUUUGGGAAUGCAGCUCAAAAUGGGUGGUGAAUUCCAUCUAAAGCUAAAUAUUGGCGAGAGACCGAUAGCGAACAAGUACCGUGAGGGAAAGAUGAAAAGCACUUUGGAAAGAGAGUUAAACAGUACGUGAAAUUGUUGAAAGGGAAACGAUUGAAGUCAGUCAUGCUCUUUGGAUUAAGCCGUUCUGCGGUGUAUUUCAUUGAGCGGGGUCAACAUCAGUUUUGAUCGCUGGAAAAGGGCAGGAGGAAGGUAGCACUCUCGGGUGAACUUAUAGCCUCUUGUCGUAUACAGUGAUUGGGACUGAGGAACGCAGCAUGCCUUUUGGCCGGGAUUCGUCCACGUACAUGCUUAGGAUGUUGACAUAAUGGCUUUAAACGACCCGUCUA
rnacentral:rRNA from 1 species